rnacentral:rRNA from 1 species
UACGUAGGGUGCGAGCGUUAAUCGGAAUUACUGGGCGUAAAGCGUGCGCAGGCGGUCUGUUAAGACAGAUGUGAAAUCCCCAGGCUCAACCUGGGAACUGCGUCUGAUACUGGAUGGCUUGAAUCCGGGAGAGGGAUGCAGAAUUCCAGGUGUAGCGGUGAAAUGCGUAGAUAUCUGGAGGAAUACCGGUGGCGAAGGCGGCAUCCUGGACCGGCAUUGACGCUGAGGAGCGAAAGCCAGGGGAGCAAACGGG